rnacentral:rRNA from 1 species
UUGACCUCAAAUCGAGUAGGACUACCCGCUGAACUUAAGCAUAUCAAUAAGCGGAGGAAAAGAAACUAACAAGGAUUCCCCUAGUAACGGCGAGUGAAGAGGGAAGAGCUCAAAUUUUGAAUCUGGCGUCUUUGGCGUCCGAAUUGUAAUCUAGAGAAGUGUUUUCCGUGAUGGACUGUGCACAAGUCUCCUGGAAUGGAGCGUCAUAGAGGGUGAGAAUCCCGUAUAUGGCACAGACUCCCGUUGCCCUGUGAUACACUCUCGACGAGUCGAGUUGUUUGGGAAUGCAGCUCUAAAUGGGUGGUAAAUGCCAUCUAAAGCUAAAUAUUGGCGAGAGACCGAUAGCGAACCAGUACCGUGAGGGAAAGAUGAAAAGCACUU